UCAAACAUCCACUUGUCACUCAGGAACUUGGUCCUGAAAAAAAGAGUUGUUGUUGUUGGUUACUUCAUCCACUAGGAACAGCUGUUAAUGGUUCAGAUUAAAGAGAAGGGUUGUUAGUUACUUCAUCCACUAGGAACAGCUGUUAAUGGUUCAGAUUAAAGAGAAGGGUUGUUAGUUACUUCAUCCACUAGGAACAGCUGUUAAUGGUUCAGAUUAAAGAGAAGGGUUGUUAGUUACUUCAUCCACUAGGAACAGCUGUUAAUGGUUCAGAUUAAAGAGAAGGGUUGUUAGUUACUUCAUCCACUAGGAACAGCUGUUAAUGGUUCAGAUUAAAGAGAAGGGUUGUUAGUUACUUCAUCCACUAGGAACAGCUGUUAAUGGUUCAGAUUAAAGAGAAGGGUUGUUAGUUACUU